CCACCUGGGAAGCAUUGCUGGUAUCCAGUUUAUGGAUGAAGAGAUUGAGGCCUGGGGGGACAAUGGAAUGAGGUGUAUGCAAGGAUCUGCAUCCAGCUCCCGAGUCUGAUGAGUUCUGGCAGUGGCUCCAGGGAAAGGAGGAGUCCAGGAACAGAGCUGGUGGGGGAGGCGCUCCCAGGAGUGGCCUUCCCAACAGCAGGUGCUGCACUCCUGCUGCCACUGAGGAGUCACACGUUCCCUCUUCUGAAGGACUCUCCCCUAUUUCUGCCCCUCCCCAAAAGGUGCCUUGAGCUGUCCAGAAGAGACAAACCGAAGCCCUGCACUGGAAGGGAGGAAAAGAGAGAGGAACCCCUCCCCCCAGCAAGGAGCGGAGUUAGCUGAAAACUGCACCGAUCCCCUCUUGGGCUCUUCCUUGGCUGCUGCCCCUUCGGCGCAACUGCCCUUCCUCUUGGGCUUCGGCAGUGGGAAGAGAGCGAGCCGGGUGCUUUUGAGCUGCAGUGCGCGGAGAGGCUUCGCGAGGCUGGGCUCAGUAUUCGUUAAUGAUCAAACAAUUAUUUAUGUUGACAGCCCACAUCUCCCUUUCCGUAGUUUCCAUCUGAAGACUUAGCUCUACCCUUCUGGUGCAGAACAGGAAAGCCUAAUCUGUCUUCCCUGAGAUUCAAGAAAUUCAAGAGGCUGCUCCUCCUGGGGCCUCUGUCGGUAUCCUCCUUGUUGCUCCUAGUUAAACUCUUAUUCCUCAGGUAAGAUGGUGCUGAGUCUACUCACCAUCGGACUGUGGUGUCUAGUAUUGGACACCACAUCCCUGAUGUGCCCUGACACCUCAGUGCUCUCCCACAUAGAACCUAGUGGGCACUGUGUCCCCGCAUCUAUCUGAAGAACUGCUCAAGAGGCUUUGUGGGAGGUCUAGCUCCUCCUCACCCCCUCCAGGCUUGACAUGCCUCCACCCCCACCACCCCGUACCCUUCGCAGCAUACUUCCAGUCAGGCAGCAAUCAGCUUGCACCUGAGAGGGAUCAGCUGUGGUGACUGAGGCUGGCUUGCUCUUGCAGCCCCAGGAACACAGAGAUUCGUGCUGAAGAACCAAAUGGUUUCUACAGUACAAGCAGGCGCCAGGGACUCCGCAGGAGGCAUCACUGGCACCUUCUAAUUGAUGAGCAGUCCAGCUCUGAAGCUGUGGGCUCUAAAGCCAGAUACCUCCUCCAGGUGACUCUGAUCUUCCUCUCCCAGCUGAAUAGAGUGAACUUCAGCGUUUCUGGCCUCCAGUUCCUGAACUCUGCUUCUUCCAAGGCAGUUUUAGCUUAGGCAUCGCCUUCUCCGGGAAGCUCUUCCUGACCCCCAUUGCUACCCACAGUGAGUCACUUGCUCUCUGUUCCUCACUUCCACGAUGUUUCCUCCUGUCUCCAUCAUUCUACUCAUUAGCCCAGGUGGCAAUUAUUUGUUGUGGUGUUUGUUGUAGACAAAGACAGUCUUGUUUUUUUGGUUUUGGCAUUUUGCUACUAAAUGUGUUUUUGAUAAAUGAAUAAAUAUAAUAACACCACAAUAGCAGCUAAAAAUUAUUUAUUGACCAUUCACUAUGCAAAUGCACAUGCAUUUUCUUAAGUAUUCCAAUAACACAGUGCCAUGGUUAUUAUCUCAGUUUUACAGAUGUAGAAACAGGCUCACGUGAAUUAUGUAACUUGUUCAAGGCCAUAAUAGCAGUUUGUGGUGAGUCUGGGACUUAAACCUAGGUCUUUUAAAAAAAUUAUUAUUCCAAAGUCUUGUUUUAAACUUUGUAAUAUGAAUGUUUAUCCCAAAGAUUUUAAGCACUCCUGAAUGUUAUCUCUUACAUCUAAGAAGAUAGGUAGUUCUCAGAAAAAAUCAAUUGCUUAGAAUGCCUUUUGCAUAGAACUGCUGCUAAUAUUUCUUUUUGCCAGUAAUAGAACUUAGACUCAUAUUAGGCAGUGCAAAGUAGUGGUUAAGUACUCAGACUUUGGAGUCUGCCAGACCUGAGCUCAAAUGCUAGCCCUGAUACUGGAAUCUUGUGUAAAUUACCAUAACUUGCCCAAAUCAUAGUUUGCUUAUACAGUAUCUAAAAAGGGGCUAAACUAUGUUGGAGAAAUGAAACUGUUGUUUACAGAUGCCAUGAUUGUGUGCUUAUAAAAUCUAAAAUAAUCUGCAAACUAUGGUAGGCUGAAAAAUGUACCUCCAACCCCACCUCCCACUCAGGAUAUCAGGUCCUAAUUUCUGGAAACUAUAGAUGCUACCUUAUUUGAAAAAAGCUUCUUGGCAAAUGUUGUGCCAAACCCCCGAUUUGCCUCAGUAGGGAAAGCACCAGGUUCACAAGGCCAAAGAAGAAACCCAGAUGUGGGGUUCUAUUAGGAGCUCACACACAGGGGAGAGAGUCCAGUGGCAGUGGGCUGGGCAGGAGACCUGCCUUACCUACAGCAAUGGUCCAGUGGCAGUGGACAGGACAGCAUAACCACAUGGCCUAGUGGCAGUGACCUGGGCAGGAGAACCACAACUUCCUUUCUAACUGUAAUAAAAUUAGAAAAGUUUGCCAAUGUUACAAAAUAAAGUCCAGAAAUAGACUCAUAUAUCUAAUUACCUGAUUUGUGAUUAAGGUAGUGCAUAGGAAAGAAGGCAUAGUUUGUUUAUUAAAUGUCGCUCCAUCAUGCGCUUUAUACAGCAUUUUCACUUAACAGCCUCCCUCUAAUGACCUCCACCUGGUAAUCUUUAUUUAACCCAAAACUCAAGGCCUCAGUCCCCUGUACAGAUCAGCCUGUGUCCCACAGGACUGGCCGGGGGGCUCUCAUGUUUGUGAUAGAAGAGGAAUGAAUCUCCAAGUUGGCCACUACUGGAUUCCCUAGCUCAGCACAAACAUUCAGGUGCACCUGCCACACAGGGUCAUUCUAAGAGUAUGUUUAAAUCAUUGCUAUUAGGUGCAUUUACCCUAUAGCAGAUGUAAUUAAGUUAGAGAUCUUGUGUUGGGGAGAUGAUCCUGGAUUAUUUGGGUGGGGCAUAAAGACCAUCACAUGUGUCCUUAUAUGACGGAGGCUGAAGUUGGUCAUACACACAGACAGAAGAGAAGGCCAUGUGAAGAUGGAGGCAGAGAUUGGAAUGAUGUGGUCACAAGGAAUGCUGGAGCCACCAGAAACUGGAAGAGGCAAGAAACAGAUUCUCCUCCAGAGCAUCUGGAAGGAGUAUGGCCCUGCUGACACCUUGAUUGUAGCCAAGAUUUUGGACUUCUGGCCUCUAGAGCUAUGAGAGAAUAAAUUUCUAUUGCUUUAAGCCAAUAAAUUUGUGCUAAUUUAUUGCAGGAGGCUUAGACAAUUAAUACACAAACUAUUAGAAUUAAUAAAUGUCAUUAGUAAAGUUGUUGGAUACAAGGUCAAUAUACAAAAAUCAACUGUAUUUCUAUCAGCAACUAACAAAUAAAAAUUAAAAUGUUAUAUUUAUAAUAGCAUCAAUAAACAUCAAAUUCCUAGGAUUAAAUAUAAUAAAUGAUGUACAACUUCAAAAUAUUAUUGAGAGAAAUUAAAAAUGACUUCAACAAAUAAAAAGAUAUAUUAUAUUCAUGAAUUGGAAACUCAACAUUGUCCUAAGAUGUCAUUUCUUCCCAGAUUAAUAUAUUGAU
rnacentral:lncRNA from 1 species